GUCGAAGGUGGGGCUGAUGACUGGGGUGAAGUCGUAACAAGGUAUCCGUACCGGAAGGUGCGGAUGGAUCACCUCCUAACAGGGAGACAACACAAUGAUUUUGAUGCCUGAGUACUUUUAUUCUUAGGCCGAAAUCCUGUCACCUUAGGUCGAUCGGUACCUCAGCUUUGAAGUCAAGGAUCAGCAGCAAUGUUGAUUGCUUGAUGGAGAUUUUUAGUUCCUAAACUUUGUCUAGGUCACACCCCAAAAGGGAUGAGACUCCUGGGCCAUUAGCUCAGGUGGUUAGAGCGCACCCCUGAUAAGGGUGAGGUCCCUGGUUCAAGUCCAGGAUGGCCCAUUCGGUGUUGGGGGUUUAGCUCAGUUGGUAGAGCGCCUGCUUUGCAAGCAGGAUGUCAGGAGUUCGAGUCUCCUAACCUCCACUGACCGAACUUGAUUCCCAUCUCCAAUUUUUUGGAGUUGAGCUCGAUUGGAGUGUGAUUUAGAUGUGUCCGCUGGAUGACCCCAGCUUCCUGUCAUUCCAAGUUUUAGAUUUUAAGUCUUAAAUUUGGUUGAUAAGAUGCUGGGCUCGGAUCAAAUAAUCAAGCAAUUGAUGAUUUGAUUUGAAGUUCUAGCAGAACCUUGACAACUGCAUAGGUGAAGUCUGGAAAAACAAAGCAUCUUACAGAUGCAUUGUUUUGAAUCUGAUCUUCUGAAAGGGAGAUUGGAUCUAGAACAAUGAAAAUUCUUUUGAGCAAGAGCCGAGACUCUUAAAUGUUCUUUGAUUCGUGUCGAGCGAAUCAGAGUUUGAUCUUGUUUUUAGCAAUAAAAACUUGAGAAUCUGCUUUCAACGGCGGUAAGCGUUUAAGAGGUUAAUUGGUCAAGCUACAAAGGGCUCACGGCG
rnacentral:misc_RNA from 1 species